rnacentral:rRNA from 1 species
AAAAAGAAGAGUGGCGAACGGGUGAGUAACACGUGGGUAACCUGCCCAUCAGAAGGGGAUAACACUUGGAAACAGGUGCUAAUACCGUAUAACAAUCAAAACCGCAUGGUUUUGAUUUGAAAGGCGCUUUCGGGUGUCGCUGAUGGAUGGACCCGCGGUGCAUUAGCUAGUUGGUGAGGUAACGGCUCACCAAGGCCACGAUGCAUAGCCGACCUGAGAGGGUGAUCGGCCACAUUGGGACUGAGACACGGCCCAAACUCCUACGGGAGGCAGCAGUAGGGAAUCUUCGGCAAUGGACGAAAGUCUGACCGAGCAACGCCGCGUGAGUGAAGAAGGUUUUCGGAUCGUAAAACUCUGUUGUUAGAGAAGAACAAGGAUGAGAGUAACUGUUCAUCCCUUGACGGUAUCUAACCAGAAAGCCACGGCUAACUACGUGCCAGCAGCCGCGGUAAUACGUAGGUGGCAAGCGUUGUCCGGAUUUAUUGGGCGUAAAGCGAGCGCAGGCGGUUUCUUAAGUCUGAUGUGAAAGCCCCCGGCUCAACCGGGGAGGGUCAUUGGAAACUGGGAGACUUGAGUGCAGAAGAGGAGAGUGGAAUUCCAUGUGUAGCGGUGAAAUGCGUAGAUAUAUGGAGGAACACCAGUGGCGA